rnacentral:rRNA from 1 species
GACGACCGCUGGCGGCGUGCCUAAUACAUGCAAGUAGGACGCAGUUGCGAACGGGUGAGUAACGCGUAGGUCACUACAUAUUAGAGGGGGAUAACUAUUGGAAACGAUAGCUAAUACCGCAUACUAGUAGAUGGCCCUGCGUUGUAUUAGCUAGUAGGUAGGGUAAUGGCCUACCUAGGCAACGAUACAUAUCCGACCUGAGAGGUUGAUCGGCCACACUGGGACUGAGACACGGCCCAGACUCCUACGGUAGGCAGCAGUAGGGCAUUGUCGGCAAUGGGGGGAACCCUGACCGAGCAACGCCGCGGGAGUGAAGAAGGUGUUCGGAUCGUAAAGCUCUGUUGUUAAGGAAGCGGUACUUAACCAGAAAGGGACGGCUAACUACGUGCCAGCCGCCGCGGUAAUUC